CUUUCUUUGCUGGCGACCGGCGCACGGGUGAGUAACACGUAUCCAACCUGCCCUUUACUCGGGGAUAGCCUUUCGAAAGAAAGAUUAAUACCCGAUAGCAUAAUGAUUCCGCAUGGUUUCAUUAUUAAAGGAUUCCGGUAAAGGAUGGGGAUGCGUUCCAUUAGGUUGUUGGUGAGGUAACGGCCCACCUAGUCUUCGAUGGAUAGGGGUUCUGAGAGGAAGGUCCCCCACAUUGGAACUGAGACACGGUCCAA
rnacentral:rRNA from 1 species